UUUUUUUGUUCUUUUUUAUGUUUUUUUUGUAAAAUGUUUUGAUUUUUUUGUAUUUUUUUGUAYUAUUUAAAAUUUGUUUUUUGAACUGGAUUAGUACCCAGGUAAUCAAAAUUUAUUAAUUCGGGAGUAAAGUUUUGUUUAAACCGAAAAAAUAUUGACUGACUUUAGAUUUUUCUUUGGAAUAUGUGUUUUUGGAGAGCCCUCUUUUUUGGUGAAUUUUAUUGGCACAUGUAUGAUUGUUUAGUUUUUAUGUUAUUUGUGUUGCUUUUUUGUUUUUUUGCAUUUAAAACAGAUAUAUAUUUGGCUUAUAAAUUUAUUUUUCAUGUAUUACUAUUAUUAAUUUUUUUUGGAUUUAUUUUUUAUUUUGUUUUUGAAAUUGGAAAAGAAAGUAAUUUUUUCUUUAUGUGUUAAUGAAUUU
rnacentral:rRNA from 1 species